UUCAUGCUUGGUGUGACAUUUUC
rnacentral:piRNA from 1 species